rnacentral:rRNA from 1 species
GACGAACGCUGGCGGCGUGCUUAACACAUGCAAGUCGAACGAAGUGGCGAACGGGUGAGUAACGCGUAAUCAACCUGCCCUUCAGCGGGGGAUAACAGUUGGAAACGACUGCUAAUACCGCAUACUGACGGCGGGGAUUGCGUCUGAUUAGCUAGGUGGAGGGGUAAUGGCCCACCAAGGCGAUGAGCAGUAGGCGGUCUGAGAGGAUGAACGGGCACAAUGGGACGGAGACACGGCCCAGACUCCUACGGGAGGCAGCAGGGGGGAAUCGUCCGCAAUGGACGAAAGUCUGACGGAGCAACGCCGCGUGAGUGAUGACGGCCUUCGGGUUGGAAAGCUCUGUUAAUCGGGACGCGGUACCGGAAUAGAAAGCCACGGCUAACUACGUGCCAGCAGCCGCGGUAAUAC